AAAAGAAGUAACUUCAAGUUCCAUCUGGUAAUUCUAAAUGGAAGCAGCCUCAAAGUCCCAAAGGAAGCACCCAUAUAUGCUUUUCUCUGCUACAGGCUUAUCAUAUUAUACUAGGGAAGCUCCAUAGUUGAAAGUUGAAUUACAAAAAUAUCCCUAAUCAUUUUUAAAAUAAUUACUUUGUCCUGAUCAUUUAACUAAUGUAUCAAACUUUUCCUAUUACAAUAUUUGUAUCUUUUGUCUUUUAA
rnacentral:misc_RNA from 1 species